ACUGGACAGGAAGAAGCAAGCAGUGAGAGGCGAGAUAUACAAACGUAUCUUCAUAUUCUUGCGAGAUACUAUUUUGGAGGCACUUUUGUUAACAAGGCCUUCUUGCACUUUGUGCAUCAUCGCUGAGGAUUUAUGUAAUGAUGCACGCUCGUCGCCUGUUAACUUCUGCUGAACGAUGUGUGUAACGCCAUCUUCACCCAGUGUGCAAGGGACCAUCAGGCCCCCGAGGCACGCCGGCCGACUCUUCGAAAACGCAACGGGCGACAGCGGAUCGCGAGGAACCCGGUAUAGGAGUAGAGCGUGCACCUGUAGCCUGACAAGGGAAUCCGUGGAAUUCCUCGAUCGAGCAGCCGAUGCGUGUACACCGAAACGAUGGAUGCAAAGCGAGACUCUUUUAUGCGGCGUAAUGACACCGCCGAGGACCGUCGUUUGUUCGAUUCAUUUAUAGUGCGGCUGACAUCCCGAGAUAAACGUUUAAGCACGUGUUCAGAUCCACGAAUUAACCAAGAUCACAAGAUCCGUUACCUUUUCUUUAACCCUUUUUAUGGGUAAAGGAAUAAAAAAUGAAUUAUACUCAUGCUGUACAUCGAAUAUAACAACUUUUGCCUCGGCAAUAAGAGAAUAACAUUAAUGAUUUAUUAGUGUAUUAAAGAAAUAUUUUUCAAUUCGACUAUUCUUCACUUAUAUGCCGGUGAUUGUAAUCAAACAUCAUCAUUGAUGAAAUAACUCGUGGUACACAAUUCAUCAUAUCUAUUUAUUAGAGAAAUACUUGAAAUUCC